AUCAAGCAGUAAGAGCGCGGA
rnacentral:miRNA from 1 species